rnacentral:rRNA from 1 species
ACUAAAUAGGAUUCCCUCAGUAAUGGCGAAUGAACAGGGAUGAGCUCAGUAUGGAAAUUGGGGCCUGUGGCCUUGAAUUGUAGUCUGGAGAUGUACCACCAACUGGGGCGCAGAUGUAAGCCUCUUGGAAAAGAGCAUCAAUGAGGGUGAGAGUCCCGCAUGGCAUCUGCAGUCCCCAGUGCACGGUGUACCUUCUAAGAGUCACGUUCCUCGGGAUUGGAGCGCAAAUCGGGUGGUAAAUUUCAUCUAAAGCUAAAUAUAGUUUCGAGACCGAUAGCAAACAAGUACCAUGAGGGAAAGGUGAAAAGGACUUUGAAAAGAGAGUUAAAAGUGCCUGAAAUUGCUGAAAGGGAAGCGAAUGGAACCAGCGAAACUUGGCAAGAUUGCUGUGUGUCAAUGUGAUUGCUUGCUGCUGCAACGUAAGUGUGGUAGUAAGUCUUGAGCAGGACAUGCUCGGUGUUUCUUGCCUUGUGUGUCACCUGUGGUUCGUGAUUGAGGAAAACUUCAGGGACAUGGUAGCCUGUCUCCGGGUGGGUGAACGUGUCUGCUGGAACUCAUUCGUGGACUGCUUG